rnacentral:rRNA from 1 species
GGGGGAAUAUUGGACAAUGGGCGAAAGCCUGAUCCAGCAAUGCCGCGUGAGUGAUGAAGGCCUUAGGGUUGUAAAGCUCUUUUACCAGGGAUGAUAAUGACAGUACCUGGAGAAUAAGCUCCGGCUAACUCCGUGCCAGCAGCCGCGGUAAUACGGAGGGAGCUAGCGUUGUUCGGAAUUACUGGGCGUAAAGCGCACGUAGGCGGCUACUCAAGUCAGGGGUGAAAUCCCGGGGCUCAACCCCGGAACUGCCUCUGAAACUAGGUAGCUAGAAUCUUGGAGAGGUCAGUGGAAUUCCGAGUGUAGAGGUGAAAUUCGUAGAUAUUCGGAAGAACACCAGUGGCGAAGGCGACUGACUGGACAAGUAUUGACGCUGAGGUGCGAAAGCGUGGGGAGCAA